UACGGAGGGUGCGAGCGUUGUCCGGAAUCAUUGGGCGUAAAGGGCGCGUAGGCGGCAUGGCAAGUCAGGAGUGAAAGGCCUGGGCUCAACCGAGGAACUGCUUUUGAUACUGCCAAGCUAGAGUGCGGAAGGGGCAACUGGAAUUCCCAGUGUAGCGGUGAAAUUCGUAGAUAUCGGGAGGAACACCAGUGGCGAAGGCGGCGAUCUGGGAAGAUACUGACGCUGAGGUGCGAAAGCGUGGGGAGCAAACAGG
rnacentral:rRNA from 1 species